CCCGCUGAACUUAAGCAUAUCAGUAAGCGGAGGAAGAGAAACUAACAAGGAUUCCCCCAGUAACGGCGAGUGAAGCGGGAAGAGCCCAAAUUUGGAAUCUGGGAGUGCAUGGACAGCUCCCCGAAUUGUAGUUUAGAGGCGUGUGUCGUGGUUGGGGUGUGGGUGUGCAAGUCUCCUGGAAGGGGGCAUCGCGGAGGGUGACAGUCCCGUCCCGCACUCAUGCCCUGAUUGAUGGAUGCAUGUCGACGAGUCGAGUUGUUUGGGAAUGCAACUCAAAGGGGUGGUAAAUUCCAUCCAAGGCUAAAUAUUGGCAGGAGACCGAUAGCAAACAAGUACCGUGAGGGAAAGAUGAAAAGCACCUUGGAAAGGGAGUUAAAUAGUGCGUGAAAUUGUUAAAAGGGAAACGAUUGGUGCCAGUAUGGCGUGCACACGUGGAGCGGUCAAGCAUGGCCGUGUGGAUCGUGUGCAUGCGAGUCAGGGGCGGUUUGCGAUCGCGCAUGACCCCGAGGGAAAGGUGACGUGUCCGCGUGACACGUUUUACAGGCCAUCGGUGGGGCGUGACGACAGACUGGCAUUCUGCUAUUCACUGCGUGUCGCUGUCGCUGGAUGCAUGUGUGGACAGCACGCUGGCUGCACGUGUCUGACAGUGCACAUGGCGCGCAGCAUGCGGAUGGCCCUGACGAAAUGGUGCCAAACGACCCGUCUUGAAACACGG
rnacentral:rRNA from 1 species